rnacentral:rRNA from 1 species
CUGACGGUAGUCGUAUGCUCGUCUCCGAGACUAAGCCAUGCAAGUCCAAGUACACGUCCUUGAACGACGGAAACUGCGAACGGCUCAUUAAAUCAGUUGCGAUCUACUCGGCGUUCCGCGCCGCCGGAUAACCGUAGUAAUUCUAGGGCUAAUACGUGCGAAGCGCCCGAAGCCGCGAGGCGACGGCGUUCUCGCCGGAUGUAGGAACCGACCCGGGGACCGCCGGGGCAACCCCGGCGCCCCCGAGACGGGGCGAACCACGGUGAAAUGACGGAUCGUCGGCCCCGCGCCGGCGACUCGCCGAAUGAGUUUCUGACCUAUCAACUCGAGACGGCGGGGUAGAGGCCCGCCGCGGUAACGACGGGUAACGGGGAAUCAGGGUUCGAUUCCGGAGAGGGAGCCCGAGAAACGGCUACCACUUCCAAGGAAGGCAGCAGGC